rnacentral:rRNA from 1 species
UGCUACUCUUCGGAGGCACUCUGAUGGGACUGCCUGGGGAACCAGGAGGAAGGUGGGGAUGACGUCAAGUCCUCAUGGCCCUUAUGCCUAGGGCUACACACGUGUUACAAUGGCGAAUACAAAGGGGAGCGAGACCGCGAGGUUUAGCAAAUCCCAUAAAGUUCGUCUAAGUUCGGAUUGGAGUCUGCAACUCGACUCCAUGAAGUUGAAAUCGCUAGUAAUCGCGUAUCAGAACGACGCGGUGAAUACGUUCUCGGGCCUUGUACACACCGCCCGUCACACUAUGAGAGUCGCCAGCACCCAAAGCUGUUUUAGCUAACCGUUAAGGAGGCGAGCAGUUAAGGUGAGGGGGAUGAUUGGAGUG